GGUCGCACUCCAGAUGCGUGGUCUAGACACCUUGCAGACUGAGAAGGUGGGGUGCGAGGAGGUGAAAGAGCAAAAAGCCAGAUGCAGAGGAACAGACCCUGCACUUGUGCCCCUGCACUUCCUUGACAAAACUAGAUUUGAUUGACUCCUCACCUUGCCUUUAAUAGCUGUGCAGUCUUGGACAAGUCACUGAACUUUCCUCAGCUUCCAUUUUCUCAUCUGUAAAAGAAUGGAAUUAAAAACCUAACUCAAAAUGUAUUGAUUGUGUGAAAGCAUUUUUAUAUGUGUUUGUAUUGUUAUUCUCUUUGCAGCUUCACUUAGAUUUCCCUGACCAAAAAAAUUCCAAGUCCCUUAGUUCUUCUCUGAACCCUUUGGGAUCUUACCACUUUUUCAGUUAGUUGCCUAUUGAGUAUAAUGAUACUGACCCCAAGGCUUCCCAAAUGGGAUAGACAUGAUUCUAUGGACUGACUCUAAGAGAAAUAGAUGCCUCCUUAGUUCACACUCAGGUUCAUAUCCCUUGUACCACUCCAACCCUUCAAACAAGUUAUUAAAGCAUUUUC